rnacentral:rRNA from 1 species
AUACGGAGGGUGCGAGCGUUAAUCGGAAUUACUGGGCGUAAAGGGUGCGUAGGCGGCUUGAUAAGUCGGAUGUGAAAGCCCCGGGCUUAACCUGGGAAUUGCAUUCGAUACUGUCAGGCUAGAGUAUGUCAGAGGUUGGCGGAAUUCCUGGUGUAGCGGUGAAAUGAGUAGAUAUCAGGAGGAACACCAGUGGCGAAGGCGGCUAACUGGGACAAUACUGACGCUGAGGCACGAAAGCGUGGGGAGCAAACAGGAUUAGAAACCCUAGUAGUCC